rnacentral:rRNA from 1 species
CUACGGGUUGCACCAGUUAGGAAUAAUCUACAAUGCGCGAAAGCGUGAUAGUUUGAGCCAGAGUGCUUUACAAAUGUAAAGCUUUUGUGGAAUCUAAAAAGUUCUAAGAAUAAGGACUGGGUAAGACUGGUGCCAGCCGCCGCGGUAAUACCAGCGGUCCAAGUCGCAGCCACAUUUAUUGGGUCUAAAACAUCCGUAGCUUGCUUAAUAAGUUCUUUGUGAAAUUUUAUAUCUUAAGUAUAAAGAUUGCAGAGAGUACUAUUAAGCUAGAGACUGGGAGACGUAAGAAGUAUGUUUAAGGUAAUGGUAAAAUAUGUUAAUCUUAAGCAGACUAACAAUAGCGAAGGCAUCUUACGAGAACAGUUCUGACAGUAAGGGAUGAAGGCUAGGGGCGCAAAACGGAUUAGAUACCCUAGUAGUC